AACGAACGCUGGCGGCAUGCCUAACACAUGCAAGUCGAACGGGAUCCAGGCUUCGGCCUGGUGAGAGUGGCGGACGGGUGAGUAACACGUGGGAACCUGCCUUUUGGUUCGGGAUAACCGCGGGAAACUGCGGCUAAUACCGGAUGCUCCCGAGAGGGGAAAGAUUUAUCGCCAGAAGAGGGGCCCGCGUCCGAUUAGGGUAGUUGGUGAGGUAAUGGCUCACCAAGCCGACGAUCGGUAGCUGGUCUGAGAGGAUGAUCAGCCACACUGGGACUGAGAUACGGCCCAGACUCCUACGGGAGGCAGCAGUGGGGAAUAUUGGACAAUGGGGGCAACCCUGAUCCAGCAAUGCCGCGUGAGUGAUGAAGGCCUUAGGGUUGUAAGGGCUCUUUUGCCAGGGAAGAUGAUGACUGUACCUGGAGAAUAAGCCCCGGCUAACCUUCGUGCCAGCAGCCG
rnacentral:rRNA from 1 species